ensembl:lncRNA
AUGGUUGCCUACCUCCAGCCCACGUCCUCUGCCCCGCUUCCGGCCGCCGCGCCCUGCCUCCGAGAGCCCUUCUUCCUUCCCUUUCCUCUCGUUUCCAGUCCUCCUCGGGGCGUUCCCAUGGCUGCUGCCGUAGGCACUUGGGCUUUCUCGAUGCCGGCUGUGCGGAAGGUGGGCUCGCUGCUCAAGAACGGGGCUGGGGCUACGGACUCUCUGCAGGAGGCGACGGCAGAAAUCGAGAAUGGUGAGAAAACUGGUCAAUACAUAGUUGAACAAGGAGGCUACCCAAAUAAAGAUGGGCUCGUUCAAUGUGGUGCAGCUGUCAUGGAAGGUCUCCCCAGUCGAUUUGGAGCAAUGGCGGCCUUACAUGGUCUAGGUCUGGUGAAGUGAGCAGAACCAAGAGGACUUUGUACACAAUAACAGCCAUGUUAUGCAAUGACUAAGAAUGUUAAACUGAACCCUUCUCAGCAUUACCAGGAUCUAAGACAUCUCCAGAGGCCUCGGGAUGGAAAAUGCUGUCUACAUCCAAAGAAAGAACUAUGGAAGUCGAACCGCUAUCACUUAUUUUUUUACCUUCUGUUGAGUUUUGUUUCAUCUUUCUGAUGGUUCCUCCUAUUGGUUUUAAUUUUUACUUACAACUUCACUAAUGUGAAAAUAUGUUUAAUGGGUAUGUAAAUGUAAAGCCUAUGUCAGAUUGUGCUCUGUCUGGGGGAGGGUGGGGGGGGGAAAGGGAGAAAAAUUUUUGACUCAAAAGCAUAUGGGAAAAAAAAAGUUAAAAAAAAAGUCUAGGUCUGGAUAACUAGAUCUAAAGGAAUAGCACCAGUUCCUUCAUUGGUCUUAGGGUUUAUCGAAAGAAAGAAGAAUGAGAAAAAGAAAUAGGCUACAGAGUGAAUAGGAACAAAAAGUAGCGCUUUCUCUUACUAAUCAGAGUAUAAUAGAAUAAGAAAAAGAGAGCUGGAGGAAAGACUGGUUGGCAUGGCUGUUGGGAAAAAACUAAGAGACCAACCCUAUAAUUAAAUAGUCCUGGUCCAGUAUCACAGUGUUUUGCACAUAACAAGACCUUUAAUGAGUGGUUUUUCAUUCAUUCAUUUACUCAUUCAUUCAUUCACAGAUAAUGAACAAAUAUUCCAUUCUUAAUGGAAUCAAAAUACCAAACCCGAACCAUGUUGCCUGAUCUUAAAUACAGGACUUCCACCUCUGAUAUUUCAUCAGUUUUUGUUCAGUCAUUUCAGUCUUGUCCAAUUCUUCAUGACCCCAUUGGGGGUUUUCUUGGCAAAGAUACUGGAGCGGUUUGCCAUUUCCUUCUCUAGCUCAUUUGAGAAAUGAGGAAACUGAAGCAAACAGGGUUAAGUGACUUGCCCAGAGUCACACAGCUAGGAAGUGUCUGAGGCUGGAUUUGAACACAGCAAGAUGAGUGGCUCAACACUUUAUCCACUGCACCACCUAGCUUCCCAACUCAGAAUUACUCACAAGAAAAAGCCACAGUAAGGGAUUUUGCAAUGAAGUUAUUAACACCUACUUUAUUUCACUUAUUCCUUAUGUUAAGGACUUGCCUUCAAGAGGCAAGUAGACCCUUCCCCCCUUACUAAGUGCCUACUAGAUUAAUUAAUAAACCAAUUAUUAUCUAUAUUAAUGUUAUUAAA